rnacentral:rRNA from 1 species
AUUGAACGCUGGCGGCAUGCCUUACACAUGCAAGUCGAACGGCAGCACGGGGGCAACCCUGGUGGCGAGUGGCGAACGGGUGAGUAACAUAUCGGAACAUACCCUAGAGUGGGGGAUAACGUAGCGAAAGUUACGCUAAUACCGCAUACGAUCUAAGGAUGAAAGUGGGGGAUCUUCGGACCUCAUGCUCAUGGAGUGGCCGAUAUCUGAUUAGCUAGUUGGUGAGGUAAAGGCUCACCAAGGCGACGAUCAGUAGCUGGUUUGAGAGAACGACCAGCCACACUGGAACUGAGACACGGUCCAGACUCCUACGGAGGCAGCAGUGGGAAUUUUGGGACAAUGGGGGCAACCCUGAUCCAGCAAUGCCGCGUGAGUGAAGAAGGCCUUCGGGUUGUAAAGGUACUCUUUUGUUCUAGGGAAGAAACGGUAG